GAGCGAGUGGCGCAACUGGCUAGACGCAGCGGACUUAAACUCCGCCGCCCUCACGGGCAUGCGGGUUCGAAUCCCGCCUCGCUCACCC
rnacentral:tRNA from 1 species